ACAAGAACAUUACGAUGGUGCGCUUCAGGACUGAGUCUUGUAUAUGAAGUGCGUUUAAAUACGGAAUCAAAUUUAUGGACGUGAGAGACAAUUAAUUUAAUUUAACUACGCAAACAGCAAACGGAAAAAACAAACUAUUUUCUGGACCCCUAAAAUAACACUGCAAAGAAGAUGGACACGGAACGAGCUGAUGGGGAUCUUCACAGAAAGUGAUUUACGCAAAGGACUUAAAGCGAGAUUAAGACGCGUGUGGAAGAGGCUCCAAACAACAGCAUCGACUAGGUAACAUUUCAGCGGUCCUGACCGGCAAUAACGACCGAACCGGAUCACACAGAUCAAUGAAGAAUGCGCGAGUGCACACACAGUUGAUGAAGCCGGCGGCGGUAUCAUGCGUGUUUUGCCCGAGCCGAGCGCGCAAUCAUUGCGGCUGGUGUUCCUAUUCAUCUUCGUCAUGGAUGUAGCACCGUCACCGGCUCUCACCGCCGGCUGCCCGGACCUCUGCGUGUGCGACGACCAAUUGGUGGUCCAGUGCGCCGGGCAAGAGUUAACCGACUUCCCCGUGGACCUCCCACUGGCCACCCGGCAGCUCAUCAUCUCCAACAACCGGAUCGGUGACCUGCCGGCGCUCCAGCUCAACUACCUGUCGGACCUGGUGUACCUGGACUGCAGCAACAACUCGCUGACGGAGAUCUCCGAGUCCACCUUUGGCAACCUACGCAAGCUCGCUUACCUGGAUCUGUCUUUCAACACCCUGACGCAGAUCGAGGACCGGACGUUUGGCCCGCUGGCCAGUCUGGUCAUGCUCAGGAUGACGGAUAACCCGGGGCUAUCGGAGAUCCACCCUGAUGCGUUCGCGGAGAACGCGGCGCUGCAGGUGCUGGACGUGAGCCGCAACAACCUGACGGCGCUUAACAUCAGCUCGCUGAUCAGCCUGCCGGCGCUGCGCUCUCUGGGGCUCAGCGGAAACCCCUGGAGAUGCGACUGCGACACCGAGGACCUCUGUCUGUGGAUCCAGAUAGAAGGGUUCAAGUUCCAAGAUGAGGGGCAGACAGUGUGCCAGGGGCCUCCGGACAUGUUGGGUCAACGUCUAGCAGAGGUGGGAAUGCAGCUGCGAUCGGAGUGCCACCAAGGUCUGGGUUAUUGGGACUAUCUUUUCUUCAUUGCCAUUGGCUUCAUCAUCUUCAGCGCUGGGACGGUGUCAGCAUGGGUGAUGGGAGUGCUUAUGGUUCUCUACGAGCGAUACAGCAAGAGGAAGAGUGAGGAGCUAGACAGCGAGGAUGAGGAGACGGCCACCCGAGGAGGAGGAGGAGGGGGUAGCCAUGGCAAUGGGGACCUGAACAAACCAGGCAUGCAGGUGUGACCACAAGAUGGAGUAAUGCUUGGAAAACCUUGAUGAAACAUGCCUGGAACAGAAAGCGAGUGGACAGAGUCGCAAAGGAUUCUGGCAAUCUGAGCUUUCGUUUUCUAUAAAGAGGUUUUAAGUGCACUUUUUAAAAAUGUGUUAACAUUAGUUUUAGAUUAAGUGGAAGAACCAAAUGAGAACAGAGGGCAAGCAUGGGAGAUUAGAUUAAUUUAAAUUCUGAGGUGAACUCAGACCGGCUGAGUAGAUCACAGUGUGUCUAGAUCAAGUUAUCCUUGUUUCUGAAAGAUCCAGGGUUCGGUCUUGGUUAAAUGCAUAUUAGUAAUGCUCACACACAAAGCUCGCCCCAGUGUUAAUAAUGUAAUUGGGGCAGAGUGAUAGCACUGUGCUUUUACUUUUGAGAGAGAAACAGUGGUUACGUUCACACAUAGUUCAAUUAUAAACAAGAGUGACAACCGCAUUGUACAACCAAAGUGGCUCCAUUACAUUUUCAGGACUCAUACUCUCAUUUUAAGAGUUAUAAAAAUAAUAGGUGUCAUACACUUACCUACUUUGUAAAUGGUUACAAAUAAAUUCUGUCCAUCACACACCAAACGACUGAUGAUCACACACUACCCAACUCUACCCCUUCAAGAAGCAGCAUGACAGAUGUAAACAAAUGUGUAUGGGAGCACUGCUGUUAUUAUUGUUGCUGUUCUGUGUUCCGAGUCGUGAAAAACACUAGAGACCUCAAUGCCAGUUGGAAGUGAGUGGUGUUAAAAGUUAAGCUCCACAAUGAGGGGGCCUGGGUAGCUCAGUUGUAAAACAAGCUGGCUACCACCCCUGGAGUUCGCAAGUUCGAACCCCAGGGCGUGCUGAGUGACUCCAGCCAGGUCUCCUAAGGAACCAAAUUGGCCCGGCUGCUAGGGAGGGUAGAGUCACAUGGGGUAACCACCUCGUAGUCACUAUAAUGUGGUUCGUUCUCGGUGGGGCACGUGGUGAGUUGAGCGUGGAUGCCACGGUGGAUGGCGUGAAGCCUCCACACGCGCUAUGUCUCCAUGGCAACGCGCUCAACAAGCCACGUGAUAAGAUGUGUGGGUUGACGUUCUCAGAUGCGGAGGCAACUGGGAUUCAUCCUCCGCCAACCGGAUUGAGGCAAAUCACUAUGCGACCACGAGGACUUAAAAGUACAUUGGGAACUGGGCAUUCCAAAUUGAAAAAAAAAAAAAUAUCCACAUUGAGAACUUGUUUGAAAUCUCCAUUUCUUGAGCUUUGUGAUCCCGUACGCUCGAUUUCCAUUGGCUGCUGAUUAUAUGACUUAAAAUUUGAGUUGUGGACAAAAUUGCCUUAACAGUAGGCUCUAAAAUAUCAAACAUGUUUGAUAUACUCCAACUUGUUCGAAAAACAAUUUGAGGUUAAGAAAUCUUAGUCGGUACCAUCAUAUACUGUGAAAUUUUCUGUAAGAUCUGUCAAAUCCAGCUGGCCCAAAAUCUGCAAAAUGGAGCCAACUUGCAUGAACUAGCUCCGAAUCGGACGGAUGUUAAAGUCGUGUAGUGUAAUCCAGCCUUUUGCCUGUGCUGUGUGAACGGAGUCGCACUGGACAUCUAGUUGUCUGUCACAUCAUGCAGUUCAGUGGUUACCCAAAGUUUUAGAUCCAAUUUCUGUCUUCCACCAAAGCUAUUCCUAUCGGUUUUGUGGUCUGGGCACAACCCAAAUGCUGCACUCUUCAAAAUAAAAAGAUUGCGCUCAAGGUCAUUGUCGGUUAAUUAAGAUUAGACAGAUGCGCCUUGAGUGUACUCGUUUAAUAAAUUACAUUGUGUCAAUUGAGACUUUACAGAGUUAUGGAAGUUGCCAUCAUUGUUGCCAUCACCAUGGUUAUAGGCAUUAUUCAAAGCUGUUGCGAGAAUAAAAAAGGAGCUUGACUUUGGUUGUACUUUCAUACCAACAGUAUUCAUCUGCUGUUGUAUGAACAGAACAAUUCGAGAGUCACACUUGUUAGUUAAUAUUGAUUAUCAGUUCCAAACACUGAAUGUGUGAAUGUAGCCAGCGAAAGGCAGUAGACUGAACAAGAAAACAAAAAAGGAGAACGAUAGAUAGGUAGAAUUUUGAAAGAAGUGACCAGAAUUUGAAGACUAAUCCAGUAAACUGUCUAAUUUUUUAUUCACAAGCUUGGAAUAGAUAUAGAUGAUACACAGGACAGUCUCUCCAGACUCAUGCAGUGUGAAAAGAGAGAAAGUAAGAUGGGAGACACUUCUAAAUUGUCUGCAGAUAACUCCAUGGAAGGAUGAAAACACUUCUUUAAGGGUCAUAGACUCAUUGACUGGUCAUCUGAUGGACUGAUAAUAUCUGUAUGCCUGUAUGCACUGCACCGAGAAGCCUUACACACUAGAUGUAACCAGUCCAGCAAUAACACUCCUCCAGUUCCUCCUGUGGUUACCACAUGCCUCCCAAGGGCAGAGCUAAAGUCACUCCUCUUGCCUCACAUUGCACCAUCAACACUGGGUGGAAUUCACCAAGAACUGACUGUACACGCUGAUAGCAUUGUUUAUUUGCACAUGCUGUCUAUGUUGUUUUAGCACCAACUUCACAAAAUAAAUUACACAAAUCUGUUAACAGUACAAACAUGACAAAUGAAAAAAUAAAAAUUUGUGCUCAAUACAAUUUACAGUGCGCAAUUCCCCAUUUUGCUGGCCAGCAGAAUGCAAGUAUGCGGAGAGUGCAGCAGACUACUGCAAUCUGUCAUUCUUUAAUUUGACGAAAGUGUGUGCAUUGUUAUAAUGCUCUUCUCCAUCAUUUUAUCACCCCAGAUAGCACACGUACAUCUCCGAGAUGUCUGUUUUAGAUCUUUUCAUCUGGAAAGCAUCACAAUAUAAUUAACAUCUUCUAAACAUCUUAAAAAGAUAAUAUUUACAAAUAUUCUAAAUCAUAAACGUCUCAAAGACAUCUGCUGAAUGUCUUAUUGACAUCUACGUGGACACUGGAGUGAAUUCUUCCCUCACUUACCAUCCUUACAAUAAUGAAUCUCUACAUUCAGCCUCAGAAAGAGAAGUGUAGCGCAUUCACAGCUCUUCUGCCUUCUUCUGUCUUUAGCAGAAAGCCAAAGCUGUUGGGUUGUUGUGUGAUUGAGAGUUGCUAAAUCCAUCUGUAAUGGGUUAAAGAGCUUAGGGGGAUGAUAAUGGUGGACUAGGCUGCUGCUUUUAUAACAACAUAUACUUACUAAUCUAUGGCUAUUAUAGCUAAUAUUCUUUUGACUUUCUGUCCUCUUCUUCUGUCUAACUUUAGAGUUAGUUCACCCUUAAGGUGAGCUAAAAAGUGUCCACCUAUGAGGGUGAAAUUAUGAUGACAGAAUUUUUAUUUUUGGGUGAACUAUCCCUUUAUACGUAAAAGCUGCCAUCACACCUGGUCCCACAUGUUAACUGAAGGUGCGUUCACAAUGACAGUGCGUAAAAUCCUGUUGGUUGCUGGUAGCCGUUCCUACUCGACUGCAGCAUCCAACUGUAUCAGGCAGCGAUCAUCUGAGCUCCACUGUAUACACUCCUAAAGGUUGUCGCCCUAUCACGUUCAUGAAGUUGAUCUCAACUGCUCAAUUUUGUUGCAUCACCAGCAGUCUCUGUCACUCAUGUAUACUCAAAUCGCUAGCUCUCAUUAAAAAUUAAUGACUUGCAUUUACUUUGUGUGAACUCCCCUAAAAUCUGAUGAAAAGACCAGCGUAGAUAAAAAAAAAAAUGUCUGAUAUGGUUAUGGUUAUGCUUAUGGUUAAUACUGGUUUUGUGCUGGUCUAUCUGGUGAACCAGCUUAGCCAUGCUAUGUCAGUCUAUAAACGCUUUAGACAGGUACAUGUCCCAUCUCAACAUGUCCCAUUUUCAGCGCAUCAUUCUCUCCCUUUCUGUACUCUCUUUGAUGCUCUCUGUCUCACCUGCUGUGUGGCAGACAGUGAGACGUUUCAGAUUUCAGGUCAUACCGGGGUGUCACCAUGUCAACAGUGUCUGGUGUCCCAAAGUGUUAACCCCACCUGAGACAGGCAGUGUAAUAAUACAAUGUGUUAUGGAGAAAAGGAUUAUGAGAAUGUGUUUGUGUACAGUUGUGCCAGGAAAUAUCUGAAGUAACUUCCUCAAAAAAGGAAAAAACAGCUAAAAAUUAUUCGGCAGGAACUUACGGUGGAGGUGGAAUGAAUCAUGCUGAUAUUAGCUUCCUGCCAAUAUAAGGAUGAACAGUAGAGGUGGUAAAUUUGACCACCUGCUCUGAAUUCCAAAAGUGAGCAUACAUUGCCGUGUCAUCGAUCUUCAGAAAAAGAGAGAAAUCGGGGAGGAGAUGUUUUAGUAUUUUAUACCUCUGUGAAUAUGAAUGUGUAAUAUAACAGGAGAUAAAGAGGAUGAGCCCUAGUGCCAUCCAUUAGUCCAGUUCAGCUCAAGAACAGAACUUUAUCUGAGGGCAUUUUCACACCUGGCU